UUUCUGAAUCUUGCAGUUCUGGC
rnacentral:snRNA from 1 species